AAGACUGUAGUCAGAUUGUAUUAGGG
rnacentral:piRNA from 1 species